UCAAAGACCCUUCCACGGCUCCCUGGUGCCUGUGGCAAGCCCAGCCUUCUUUGGCCUCUUCUCUACGGACCACCUUGCCAGCCUGUACCCUCAGAACCUCCGAGCUGCAGCCUGGGCCCGGCCGCAGGAGGGUGACUCCCCACUCUGGUGAAGCAAUUAAGGACACUUUCAAAUGCUGAGUGGCUGCCGGGAGGCAGCUCUGACCAGGCCCCGACAGAGGAGGCUAACAUGGGAUCCUGACGUCAGAGCAGGGAACAGAGAGAGCUCCAUAAAGGCCCUCCCUCCAGCUCUAGGCUAUCACUGCAAGAGGGCUUGUAAAGGUCCUCACUGGCUCCUUGAGAAAACAGGCCCUUUGAUGAGCAGUGGGUUCCAGGCCCCCAGACCUUAAGCUGGAUCGACACGCUGAAGCCUCCCAGCCUGCAAUCCUCAGGACUCACAGAUGCUGGGAAAGCAAGUGUUAAAUAAUAAUCACGAUGUGCCGGAGGGGAAGCCGGAUGUGUUGGAAAGCUUGACACAUCUGGCAGGGCCAGCCCUAGUCCCCCGGCACAUCUGGCUGCUGUAUUGACAGGUGGUGCUGUGGGUCACUGAGGAAGGUCCUGGUGGGCCCAGUCCCGGUGCCACAAGGGUGGGGGCUGACGGCCGGAUGAAGCCGGGGAGCAUCUCCCACACUGCCCACAGGCUAUCACCCUCUUGCCGGUCCCCUUCGGGCCACCUGUUGUACUUUGGUGGCUGUGCUCAAAGAGGCCAACUUAGGACCCAGAACCUCAUCUGCCAGAUUCUAAAAGCCCUGCAACAUGUUGUUGGAGCCAGCCGCCCCUGCCCGGGUUCGGGAAGUCGGGAAAGGCCCCUCCCCUCUUCAGCUGGAGGGGGUGGAUUUUCGGGGUCACCUCACGUAGCACUUCCCUUUCUAUGGAAUCCAGAAAUGUGGUCAUCAGCUCCACCUGAGGGAGCCCCCUGGGCUGAGACGGGCCUCCUCCCUCCUCCCACCUGCCCCAAGAAAGCCAUGGUCAUUAAUAAAGGACACAAUUAGCUGUC